rnacentral:misc_RNA from 1 species
GAUGAAGAACGCAGCGAAAUGCGAUAAGUAGUGUGAAUUGCAGAAUUCAGUGAAUCAUCGAAUCUUUGAACGCACAUUGCGCCCCUUGGUAUUCCAUGGGGCAUGCCUGUUCGAGCGUCAUUUGUACCUUCAAGCUCUGCUUGGUGUUGGGUGUUUGUCUCGCCUCUGCGUGUAGACUCGCCUCAAAAUAAUUGGCAGCCGGCGUAUUGAUUUCGGAGCGCAGUACAUCUCGCGCUUUGCACUCAUAACGACGACGUCCAAAAGUACAUUUUUACACUCUUGUCCUCGGAUCAGGUAGGGAUACCCGCUGAACUUAAGCAUAUCAAUAAGCGGAGGA